CACGUAGGGGGCAAGCGUUGUCCGGAUUUAUUGGGCGUAAAGAGCUCGUAGGCGGCUUAGUAAGUCGGGUGUGAAACCUCCAGGCUCAACCUGGAGACGCCACCCGAUACUGCUGUGGCUAGAGUCCGGUAGGGGAGCGUGGAAUUCCUGGUGUAGCGGUGAAAUGCGCAGAUAUCAGGAGGAACACCGGUGGCGAAGGCGGUUCUCUGGGCCUUACCUGACGCUGAGGAGCGAAAGCGUGGGGAGCAAACAGG
rnacentral:rRNA from 1 species